rnacentral:sRNA from 1 species
UGAAAACAUACCAUAUGUAUCAUGCAGAGAGCAUCAGUGCAGAGAGCAAGCUGAAAGAGGCUGAAAAACAAGAGGAAAAGCAAAUUGGGAGAUCUGGUGAUCCGGUCUUCCAUAUUCGACUAGAGGAGAGACAUCAACGGCGAAGCUCUGUAAAGAAAAUUGAAAAAAUGAAAGAAAAAAGACAAGCAAAAUAUUCGGAAAAUAAGCUAAAAUCAAUUAAGGCACGGAACGAAUAUCUCCUAACACUUGAAGCCACCAAUGCCUCAGUUUUCAAGUACUAUAUUCAUGAUCUUUCUGAUUUAAUUGAUGUGAGUACUUGAAGUUUUUGUCUUUUCCAUAUUAAAAUGAAAUUAACAAUAA